AAAUUAUUUCAAUUUUCUUUCACAAUACUAUUCACUAUAAUUAAAAUUAUUUUUUCUUUAUUAAAUACUAAAACAAACCAUUUUAUAAUUAUUUUUAAUAAUUUAAAUUAAAAAAAAAUUAUUAAUAAAUAAAUUAUAAUCAAUUUAUAUUGAUUUGCACAAAAAUCUUUUCAAUGUAAAUGAAAUGCUUUACUAUAUAAGCUUUAAAUUGCAUUCUAGGUACACUUUCCAGUACAUCUACUAUGUUACGACUUAUCUUACCUUAAUAAUAAGAGUGACGGGCGAUGUGUGCAUAUUUUAGAGCUAAAAUCAAAUUAUUAAUCUUUAUAAUUUUACUAUCAAAUCCACCUUCAAUAAAUAUUUCAUAUUUAAAUUCGUAUAAAUAAAUUUAUUGUAACCCAUUUCUACUUAAAUAUAAGCUACACCUUGAUCUGAUAUAUUUUCCUUUUAAAAAUCCUGAAAAUUAACAUUCUUAUAAAAUAUUCUAAUAACGACGGUAUAUAAACUGAUUACAAACUUAAGUAAGGUCCAUCGUGGAUUAUCGAUUAUAGAACAGGUUCCUCUGAAUAGACUAAAAUACCGCCAAAUUUUUUAAGUUUCAAGAACAUAACUA
rnacentral:rRNA from 1 species